GGAAAAUUCAAGUCCUAUGAUUUAUAUGAUUAGAACUCUGAUAAAAGCAUGGGUCACGACAACGUGUUUGGAGUUUGCAUCAUUGUUGGAUAAUCGUCCGUGUUAGUCCUGCAGCCACUACUGUGAAGCAUCUGCAAAGGGCCUUGCUGAGGAAGCUGUUCAUACCAGGAAGAGCCUCCUCACACCAUUCAAGUUGAAGUAAGAAACUCCAGCUGCACCGGCCUUGUCGAAUCCUCAAAUUUGUUUGCUCAGGUCCGAGACCACCAUUAUUACUAAGAAAGAGGAAACUUCAGUAAAUUAAAUGAUUAACUUAAUAAGCUAAGAAAGAAAAUUAAGUUGACAACUUCUUUGUGUCCGGGAGGCUGCUCCCAGCGAUGCUGCAAUCGUCACCAUGCC